rnacentral:rRNA from 1 species
AUUGAACGCUGGCGGCAGGCCUAGCACAUGCAAGUCGAGCGGAUGACGGGAGCUUGCUCCUUGAUUCAGCGGCGGACGGGUGAGUAAUGCCUAGGAAUCUGCCUGGUAGUGGGGGACAACGUUUCGAAAGGAACGCUAAUACCGCAUACGUCCUACGGGAGAAAGCAGGGGACCUUCGGGCCUUGCGCUAUCAGAUGAGCCUAGGUCGGAUUAGCUAGUUGGUGGGGUAAUGGCUCACCAAGGCGACGAUCCGUAACUGGUCUGAGAGGAUGAUCAGUCACACUGGAACUGAGACACGGUCCAGACUCCUACGGGAGGCAGCAGGGGGGAAUAUUGGACAAUGGGCGAAAGCCUGAUCCAGCCAUGCCGCGUGUGUGAAGAAGGUCUUCGGAUUGUAAAGCACUUUAAGUUGGGAGGAAGGGCAGUAAGUUAAUACCUUGCUGUUUUGACGUUACCGACAGAAUAAGCACCGGCUAACUCUGAGCCAGCCGCCGCAGUAA